AACGAAGUAAAUAUUACAUACAGUUUCGGCCUGUAAAUUGGCGUAAGCCCGUAGUUU
rnacentral:tRNA from 1 species